rnacentral:rRNA from 1 species
CCUACGGGAGGCAGCAGUGAGGAAUAUUGGUCAAUGGACGCAAGUCUGAACCAGCCAUGCCGCGUGAAGGAUGACGGCCCUAUGAGUUGUAAACUGCUUUUGUACGAGGGUAAACCCAGAUACGUGUACCUGGUUGAAAGUACCUUACGAAUAAGGAUCGGCUAACUCCGUGCCAGCAGCCGCGGUAAUACGGAGGAUCCGAGCGUUAUCCGGAUUUAUUGGGUUUAAAGGGUGCGUAGGCGGGUUGAUAAGUUAGAGGUGAAAUGUCGGGGCUCAACCCCGAAACUGCCUUUGAUACUGUUGGACUAGAGAAUAGUUGCGGUAGGCGGAAUGCAUGGUGUAGCGGUGAAAUGCUUAGAUAUCACGCAGAACACCAAUUGCGAAGGCAGCUUACCAACCUAUAUCUGACGUUGAGGCACGAAAGCGUGGGUAGCAAACAGGAUUAGAUACCCCUGUAGUC